rnacentral:lncRNA from 1 species
AAUUAGAAUUACAACUUAGUUUCUCCCGGUAUAUCAGAAUGCUGGAAUUGAUGAAAUUUGAAAGCAGAAGGCUUAUUCAAGUUAUUGUAGGAGAUGAAUGUUGCAGUGUAUGAUGUUGGUGCUACGUAAUCUAACGUUUUUUGUUAGUACUUAUAGUAGUAAAUAAAAUAAUUUUUUUAACUUAAUGUUACCACAUAAGAACUAUUAACCUGAAGAGGAUUGGGAACCUGAAAUUAGGUCUUGUUGCAUUACUUGGAAAAAGUUAACACAACAUGAACUCUGAUUUAGGAGGUUUAAAAAUUGGUAUAAACGUAGACAUCCAGAGAACUGAUGAAAACUGGUUCAAGAGGAAAGACAUUCUGCUGAUCUGAAAAAUGUUUCAUAUUGAUCCUUAUUAAGUAUUUAAAUCAGUGUGAGCUUUAUGCUACCUCUCAACUGAAGUAUUGUAAAAGUAGUUUUUUUUUACCGUUGAGGUAACAAAGAAAGAGUUUUGUUACAAAUACUUUUAGCUCCAUCUUUGUUUAGUAUGAGCUUUAAGAAACAUAGGACACUGUUUCAGAGUUGAAAAUAUUUUCGAUAUGUUUGUUUCUGGGUGUGUUUUUUUCCCACAAAAUAUGAUUGUGAAAGUGUGGUAUUAACAUUGUUGUAACUUUAUAAACGUUUAGAGAAAUACACAAGAUAAAAUGUAUUAUUAAUCACAGUCACUAUGAUGAACAUGCCUGGCAGGCUAUAGUUUCAUUCAACCUGGGUUGUGAUAAUAACUUUAUCUAGAAACCUUUUGCAUUAUAUCCCCAAACUUUAGUUGAAUUAAUAGUGAAUGAAUCAAAUUUCAAGUACUUUUAAGGGUACUUGCUUCCAGAUUUGAAAAUGAAGUUGGUGUGAUAACAAACUGGGAUAACCAUAGUUAGAGCUGUUAACUAUAUUCUUUUUUUAAACUGUAAGGCUUAUAUACCUUGUCAUGCAUAUCAUGUUUCCAGGUGCUAUGAAACUUAAUAUAAAAAGUUAUACUAGUAGUGUCUAAUAACUGAAGCUUAGUAAUGAAUAUAUAUAAACUAUUACAAUGUCAUAUUUGUAUUGAACAGUACCAUUUGGUGAAUGUUUUAUCAGCUUUUAAAGUAUUCUGUACUUAUUGAUAUGUAUUCAUUUCUAUGAAUUUAGCAAUAUGUACUUUAGAAUCUGAAUUCUCAUUCUUUAAAAGUUUAUUUAAUUGUAAUAAUAUCCUGUUAGCAGAAAGAAGUAGCUGGUGCUUUGGUAAAAUAUUGUGAUUAGAUAUUCUGUGUUGGUUUUGUUUGUUAUUUAAGUUGGUGCUUCCUCAGAAGAGUGCAUUAAAGCUAAAUGUAGGGAUUAUCAGGGCGUUGACUUAGUUAUAUUUGUUUUUUAAAGUGUGAAGCGUAUACACCUUUUCAUGCAUAUCAGGUUACCAUGCGCUAUGAAUAAACUUAGAAACUUAAAAUAAAAGUUGACUGGGUCGCUUAAGUUAUCUACGGAAAUUAUAUAUAUAUAUAUAUAUAUAUAGGCACAAAAACUCCAUUUAUUUGCGCAACGACCGAUUCAUUCUUGAUGUUAGGUACAAAUAUGGUUUUACAAGUUUUCCCGGUUAGGUGAAUACUUGGAGCUCAAAAUUUUGCGUGUGCAUGACACGUGUUAGUGUUUAGUUAGUAGCUUAGGCUGUCGAAGAAUGGUUAAAUACCACGCACGGUAAUGUGGUACACUGCAUUAGCAGAUGACGGUUACUGUUUUGACUUGCAGUAGUUUGAGAAUGAUAUCGUGUAGUUUUUGCCCCGAUUUCUGUUUUUAUACAUGAUAGUAUUACGAAAGUCAAACGUUUUCGAAGUAUCUAAAUAUCUCUAUGGAAAUCUGUGUGGUUCGUGUAUAACCGUCAUUUUGUCGGGUUGUUUUAAACACGAAUAUCACUUCUUGUAAACGUUGCUAUUGCUUAUUAUAUCAUUUCAAUUAUCAAACGAGUAGUCGUAUUUUUAUGUGAAUAGACACACCAGAGAGAAAGCUGAUGCCUCUUAAACACCACAUAACCUUAUUUCAGUUUUACUGAUUAAUUUUUGUGAUUUACCAGCGUUUUUAAUCCUAUGUUAAUUUAAUUUUAGGUUAAGAAACGCAUACAGAAGCUAGAAUAUAUUUUUCUUACUUCGAAAAAUAGUUUCUUCGAAUACAUAAAACAAAUUCAACCGAAAAAUUGAAUAUCUAUGAAAACCUUAUAAUUUAUGUAACAAUACUACUAGAGUAGAACAACUUAUGUUAAGGUAAACGCAGAUAGACAUUGAAAUUGUAGGCAGUACUUUAUGUAGUAAAUGUUCAGCCGACCUGUUCAGUCCUGUUAUUUGACGAAAGUCUUUAUUGGCACUGAUAUAGUAUAGAUGACAUAAUACAUUCUUCUUUACUUUCAUUCAUAAGUACUUAUAAAGGAAAUGAUUUUGGCUCUAAGAGAGUGUUUUUUUUGUUUUGUUUUUUUUGUUGUUCAAGGUUUGCACACAUAGUUGACACAUUUCCCGAUAAACGCGUAUUACAGUUUACAUGACCGGUUUUUGAACGAUGAUGAUAUCUUAAGAGUAACAUUGCGUAUGGGAUAUAAUUUUAUAUAAUCUUUAUAACAAGACUGUUUAAAAUUAUGUGGAGUGAUUAGAACUGAUUUAAAUCAACAAUAGGCAAAAAGCUCGGAUUGUUGCUAACAUUUGUUCGUGACUAUUCUUUGUUGUGAAAAAUAUAUUACUUAUGGAUCGAGGUUUGUGGGUUUUCUUACGGCCGAUUAAGAAAUAAGCACACUGUCUUGGUGCCACGUUAUGAGUCAUCAUAUUAUGACGAAAACGUAGAAGCAGGUACCGCAUGUGACAUAAUCUUGUUCUCACCAUAUGCUCGGGGCAGGGAGCUGGGGUUGUUGAUGUUGUGACGUAAGAAGCAUGUGAUGUUGGAUAUGAACCAUUGUAAACAAGCUAUAUUUAGUAACUAUUAUAUUAGUUUUAUUGUAUGAAUUAGUAUUAUGAAAUUAUCAACUUGAUUUCACAAGUGUAAAUCACUCAAAUCUAGGUAGACAUGCGAAAGUAAAAGUCUAGUAGAAUAUACCCAGUUACUCCAAACCGGUCCAGCAAAAGUUUGCUUUACAUAGAAGAGGUCAGGUU